GUCCCUGUAGUUUAAAAUAAUGUUCAAUUUCAUGAAAAAAGUACGACGUGUAUUUGAAAAAAUGCUAACAUGUUUUCAAAAAAGUAUUCAAAACAUGCGUUUUAGAAAAUGUAUACCAGGUCUUUGAAAAAUGUCCAAAGUGUAGCAGAAAAAUGUUUCACAUGUGUGCUAUGAAUAUAGAUUAUGUAUUCAGAAAAUGUAGACAUGUGUUGAAAACACAAACCAAUAAAUACAUACAAAGAAUUAAAUAGCAAAGAAAACCGGAGAAUACGAAGAAAACCAAGAAAGAAAGAAAAGAAAAUGCUAACAUGUUUUCAAAAAAGUAUUCAAAACAUGCGUUUUAGAAAAUGUAUACCAGGUCUUUGAAAAAUGUCCAAAGUGUAGCAGAAAAAUGUUUCACAUGUGUGCUAUGAAUAUAGAUUAUGUAUUCAGAAAAUGUAGACAUGUGUUGAAAACACAAACCAAUAAAUACAGACAAAGAAUUAAAAAGCAAAGAAAACCGGAGAAUACGAAGAAAACCAAGAAAGAAAGAAAAGAGAACAAAAAAGUAGGAAAAACAAUGAAAAAAAA
rnacentral:lncRNA from 1 species